rnacentral:rRNA from 1 species
AUUGAACGCUGGCGGAAUGCUUUACACAUGCAAGUCGAACGGCAGCGCGGGGGCAACCCUGGUGGCGAGUGGCGAACGGGUGAGUAAUACAUCGGAACGUGCCCAGUCGUGGGGGAUAACUACGCGAAAGCGUAGCUAAUACCGCAUACGAUCUACGGAUGAAAGCGGGGGAUCGCAAGACCUCGCGCGAUUGGAGCGGCCGAUGGCAGAUUAGGUAGUUGGUGGGGGAAAGGGUCACCAAGCAUGGGAUCUGUAGCUGGUCUGAGAGGACGACCAGCCACACUGGGACUGAGACACGGCCCAGACUCCUACGGGAGGCAGCAGUGGGGAAUUUUGGACAAUGGGCGAAAGCCUGAUCCAGCCAUUCCGCGUGCAGGAUGAAGGCCCUCGGGUUGUAAACUGCUUUUGUACGGAACGAAACGCGCUGAGCUAAUACCUCGGCGUAAUGACGGUACCGUAAGAAUAAGCACCGGCUAACUACGUGCCAGCCGCCGCGGUAACAC